rnacentral:rRNA from 1 species
AUUGAACGCUGGCGGCAGGCCUAACACAUGCAAGUCGAACGAGUGGCGGACGGGUGAGUAAUGUCUGGGAAACUGCCUGAUGGAGGGGGAUAACUACUGGACACGGUAGCUAAUACCGCAUACCCUCAGAUGUGCCCCGAUGGGAUUAGCGAGUUGGUGGGGUAACGGCUCACCAAGGCGACGAUCCCUAGCUGGUCUGAGAGGAUGACCAGCCAAACUGGAACUGAGACACGGUCCAGACUCCUACGGGAGGCAGCAGGGGGGAAUAUUGCACAAUGGGCGCAAGCCUGAUGCAGCCAUGCCGCGUGUAUGAAGAAGGCCUUAGGGUUGUAAAGUACUUUCAGCGGGGAGGCGUUACCCGCAGAAGAAGCACCGGCUAACUCCGUGCCAGCAGCCGCGGUAAUAC